rnacentral:lncRNA from 1 species
AGCAUGGUGGUGGGUGCCUGCAAUCCUAGCUACUCAAGAGGCUGAGGUUCGAGAAUCGUUUGAACUUGGGAGGCAGAGGUUGCAGUGAGCCGAGAUCGUGCCAGUGAACUCCAGCCUGGGUGACAGUGUGAGACUCCGUCUCAAAAAAAUAUAGUGUAUAGAAAUAUGAUAGAUUUUUAUAUAAUUAUUUUGAAUCCUGUGACUUUACUAAUUCACCACUUAUCAUUAGUUCUAGUACACUUUUUGGUAGAUUCUCUGGGAUUUUGUGCAUAGAAAAUGAUUUCAUUUGCAAAUACUGAGAGCUUACUUCUUCCUCUUCAAUCUGCAUUCCUUUGAUUUCUUUCAUUUUUCUUUUUUUGCUUAACUGAACUUGCUAUGACUACCUUGUCUUGUUCUCAAUUUUAGGAAGAAAGCAUUCACUUUUUCACCAUUAAGUGUUACAUCAGCUCUAUGAUAGUUAUCUUUGCCCUUUACUAGGCUGAGGAAAUUCCUUCAAUUCCUAGUUUGCUGAGAUUAUUUAUUAUGAAUUAAUGCAGUAUCUAACCACUGAGUAAUUAUAUGGGUCAUAUGGGGUUUUUAAUUUUUUUUUUCUCUUUUUUCUUUUCUUUUCUUUUUUUUUUUUUUUUUUUUUGAGACAGAGUCUCACUCUGUCGCCCAGGCUGGAGUGCAAUGGCACAACCUCCACCUCCUGGGUUCGAGAGAUUCUUGGGCCUCAACAUGCCCCAGAGUAGCUGGGAUUACAGGUGUGUGCCACCGCACCUGGCUAAUUUUUUUAUUUGUUUUUUCAGUAGAGACAGGAUUUCACCACUUUGGCCAGGCUGGUCUGUCUCAAACUCCUAACCUGAAGUGAUCUGCCUGUCUUAGCCUCCCAUUCAUUUAAUUUAUUGAUAUGGUGAAUUGCAUUGAUUCAUUCUGAAGAUUAAAACAACCUUGAAUUUUUGGGAUAAAACCUACUUUCAUAAUGCAUUAUCCUUUUUACAUAUUGCUGGUUUUGAUUUGCCAAUAUUUUCUUGAAGAUUUUUUUGUCUAUGCCUGUAGUUUUCUUUCUUGUAAUCUAUUUGACUUGUUUUGAUAUCACAAUACUACUAAUUUUAUAAAAUGAGUUGGGAAGUGUUAAAUCUUCUUUUAUUUCCUGGCAUAAUUUGUGCAGAACUGAUAUUAUUAAAUAUUUCCUUGGUAGUAUUAAUUUUGUUUUUUUUUGGUAGAGAUGGGGUCCUUGCUAUGCUGCCCAGGCUGGUCUCAAACUCUUGGCCUCAAGUGAUCCUCUCACUUUGGCUUCUCAUAGUGCUGGGAUUACAGGUGUGAACCACUGCACCUGGCCAAUCUAUUAUUUUCUCAAGUGAGCUUUGGUAGUUGAGAUGAGGUUGUGGAGUCAGACAAGCUUAGCUGUACCACUAAAUAGUCAUUUGAUACUGGACAAUUAACUUUGAGAAUGAUAUCCUCAUAUAUAAAAUGGAAAUAUUAAUAACAAGAGCUAUGUCAAACAGAUUUGUAAGGUUUAAAGAUAAUCCGUAUUCCGUUGAAUGAAUAUUUGUGUCCUCCUCAAAAUUCUUAUGCUGAAACCUAAUCCCCAAUGUGUUGUCAUUUUGAGGUGGAGCCUUUGGCAGGUGAUUAUAUCCUGAGGACAGAGACCUCAUGCAUGGGACUAGUAAGAAUCCUUAUAAAGGAGACUCCAGAGAGCUCACUUGCCCCUUCUGCCAUGUGAGGACACAGUGAAAAGACACCAUCUAUGAACCAGAAAGCAGAUGCACUCACCAGAUACUAAAUAUGCUGGUACUUUGGGACUCCCCAGCCUUCAGAACCAUGAGAAAUAAAUUUCUGUUGUUUUCAAGCCACCCAGUUUAGGCCCAAUGGACUAAGAAUAUUAAAAGUGAAUCUCAAUGUUUCAUAUAUAGUAAGCACUCAGUACACAUUAUUACUACUAUAUUUUAUUUUAUUUUAUUUUAUUUUAAUGUUAAGUUAUUUUUGAGAUGGAGUCUCACUCUGUCACCCAGGAUGGAGUGCAGUGGUGCCAUCUCGGCUCACCGCAGCCUCUGCCUCCUGGUUCAAGUGAUUCUUGUGCCUCAGCUUCCCGAGUCACUGUGCAGAUGUGCACCACCACUUUCGGCUAAGUUUUGUAUUUUUUUUGGUAGAUUCGGGGUUUCACCAUGUUGACUAGGCUGGUCUCAAACUCCUGACCUCAGGUGAUCCUCCUGCCUCGGCCUCCCAAAGUGUUGGGUUACAGGCGUGAGCCAUGGUGCCUGGCCUAUUACUACUAUUGAAAUUUUUUUUUUUUCUGGACAAAUUGCACAUAGGCUUCCCUAUAAAAGGAAAGUUUUCCUAAAUGAAGGCAUUGUAAAUAAUGCUUUAAAGACCUAUCAAGUGUUAUGAGUUUAAGAUUGUAGACAGAGACAGAUAUCAAAUUAUUCUUUGUCUGUAAGAAUAUACUCCCCUACCCACAAAGGCCAUAAUUUUCAGCUAAUGAAAUAAACUUAGAUAAAACUAUUUGACUCAAUCUUAGCAUUACAUAGCUAGAAUGUUACUCUUUAAAUUUUAGCUUCUUUAGUGGCCAUGAUAGUUCACACCAUUAAAAAUCUAAAUUUCUAGUUGUGCAAAUUAGAAAUUCUGUGAAUUGCACAAUUAGAAAUCUGAUUCUAUUCUCUCUUCAAAGUCACGGUAGAUUAUAAAUUUUGGACACAACCAGCUUGGAUGGGGCCAGAAAAAUAUGUAAAUGUAGAUGGUCUGCUAUGUACCUCAUGGAUGUGUUAUAUGAUUUCUGAACUGGGCUAGGUGGGAGAAUCAGUGCAGUUAUUUUACAGUAUAGAGAGAUGAAGUUCUUAUCAAAUCUGUUUCUUGAUAAUAUUAUAAUCUUGAAAACAAACUGGUCUUGAACUCCUGACCUCAGGUGAUCCACCCACCUCGGCCUCCCAAAGUGCUGGAAUUACAGGUGUGAGCCACUACGCCUGGCCCUGAAACAGAUAUAAUUAAAUAGGUACACUUAAAUCAAUAACAGAGAGACAGGGAAAUCUGAUCACUUUCUAUGUAUUAUCUCACCUGCAUAAGUUAACACUUAACACUUUAAUUUCUGCAGUGUUUUAAAAGUUCCUUUCUUCAACAAAAAAAAUUUUUUUUAAAUAGUUGAGAACCAGAAAGAAUUUACUGGAUAUUUUAGAAGGGUGAAUGUGGCCACAUGUCUACCAGUGACAAGGGCACAAAAAAGCUCCAAUAAUGCCACAAGUAGAGGUUUAACCCACAAUUAGAGAUUUUUUUUUAAAGAAAUCACUGUUAAGAUAUAUAUAUACAUAUAUAUACA